GAGCCUGAUAGACAGUUCUGUCCCUCUGCA
rnacentral:piRNA from 1 species